CACUAGCUUCGAUACGGUCGGCAAUGACAGUGGAACAAACUGGGCUUUGCGGCCAGGAGGAGGAUGACAAUGGUGACUUCCACGGAGCUCUGCUCAAAAUGUCACAUGCCAGUACGCUGACCUCGUAUCCCUGUAGUACUGCGAAUCAGUACACUUAGUGAGCAGCUGCAGCUUGUCAUCCACGUCUCCUUGGAUGUUAAUGUGGUCUCAAGACCCUUCAAUCUUAACACUUGCUGUACUCACAAUACAUUCACGCCAGCAGUCAGCACAUUAGAGAGCAUGAAGGAUGUGUGACGGAGAAUUUAAAAAGCAAGGGAAAUCACAAUUGAAGUUACAGACUCAUCCUGAACUCAGCUCCCAGAUAGGUGGAUUCCCACAUCCAUACAAAACCUCAUUGACUACAAGGAAGUGCAGAGAUCUUUGUGCACAAGGUUCAUUGUGAACAUUUUUUUGGAAAAAUCACAGUUCAUUUACACCAUUUAUUAAUAAUACUGAACUAUCUGUUGUGAGCAAUAGUUACAGAAGAAUUUCUCUCCCUUUCCCCCAGAAUGUUUUUGUCUGUCUGCUAUAUUGUGAGUGCUUAAGGGCAAAAAAUUUAUUAAGAUUUGUUUUGCCAAAUGUUGAACAAAUUGUCUCAGCUUAACUAGUAAUAUUGA
rnacentral:lncRNA from 1 species